GGCCACAACUUGACGGGAUCCCAACAUUCUCCCACUUUGACCAUAUUAACGAGUGAAAUAUCCUUAGCACUUGAAUUUUAUAAUCUUUAUACGCAUAUUCUUUCUAUUCUGAUAUCAAUUUGGGGAAACUUUAUGUUUGACUACUUUGAGAAUAAUAAUACGAACCAUGGCGGAAAUAAGACCUAUUUUAUUGGCGUAUAACCUUUCAUAAUUACUAUAUCACUAAACCAUCAUAGCUAAACCCUUAUGAAUGAACUUCUCAUGAAAUCCAUUCUUUGGUCAACAAUUUCUGCUACCAUAGUAUACAUAAAUCAUAUGAAUUCGUUAAAGCAGAAAAUACAAUAAAUGUGAUUUACAACCAUCCG
rnacentral:lncRNA from 1 species